rnacentral:rRNA from 1 species
CAGUAGCCGCGGGAACACGAAGGGGGCUAGCGUUGUUCGGAUUUACUGGGCGUAAAGCGCACGUAGGCGGAUAUUUAAGUCAGGGGUGAAAUCCUGGAGCUCAACUCCAGAACUGCCUUUGAUACUGGGUAUCUAGAGUCCGGAAGAGGUGAGUGGAACUCCUAGUGUAGAGGUGGAAUUCGUAGAUAUUAGGAAGAACACCAGAGGCGAAGGCGGCUCACUGGUCCGGUACUGACGCUGAGGUGCGAAAGCGUGGGGAGCAAACAGGAUUAGAUACCCCAGUAGUCCCUGUCUCUUAUAC